UACAGAGGUCCCGAGCGUUGUUCGGAUUCACUGGGCGUAAAGGGUGCGUAGGUGGCGAGGUAAGUCGGAUGUGAAAGCUCGGAGCUCAACUCCGAAAUGGCAUUGGAAACUACCUUGCUCGAGGGUUUGAGGGGGGACUGGAAUACUUGGUGUAGCAGUGAAAUGCGUAGAUAUCAAGUGGAACACCAGUGGCGAAGGCGAGUCCCUGGAAAACUCCUGACACUGAGGCACGAAAGCUAGGGGAGCAAACAGG
rnacentral:rRNA from 1 species